CCGGGAGGGCCUUUUGACACUUCCCUGCUGAUUCACUACCAGGAUCACGUCGCUCGGCGGAUCUGGGAGGGAGAGGAGAGAGAGCCAUUGAAAAUGGUGAACCACUCCAGGAAGAUUUUCGGUCUGUUUAAACCAGCAGCUCAGUGGUUUAACGACCAUGUGCGAGGUUCAGGGCUUUGCGGGCUCUGCAUGACCGGGUACACCACCAUCAGCACCGGCAUGCAGGGGGCAUUUGUGGAGCGCUGGCACAAGGAGACGUCUUCUUUCCACUUGUCGGUGGGGGAGUUGACGAUCACCUUGCAUGACGUCCAGUGUCUUCUCCACCUGCCUAUUAGGGGGCCGCUGUUGGACCACUCCAGGAUCCAGAGGGUCGAGGCCAUUGAGUGGAUGAUGCACUAUUUGGGCCUGCCGCACGAGGUUGCUCACCUGGAGUGCGUCUCGACUUCUGGGCCUCAUGUCCGGUUCAACACACUGAGCCUCUAUUUUGAGUUCCACCUGGACGCGGCGGUCGAGGCCGAGCAGGAGGGUAACGACCUAUUCAGGGAGUACCACCGCGGCUGCGCUCUUCGGUGCUGGUACAUGCAUGUGGUAGGCGCUGCAUGCUUUGUGGACAAGAGCGCCAGGUAAGUCGACGUGGCCUACCUCCGCUAUUUCAUGGACCUGGAUACCGUUCACCAGUGGAACUGGGGGGCAGCUACUCUGGCAUAUCUCUACCAGAAGCUGAAUGAGGCCUCCAACUGGAGGACGAGGCAGCUGGUCGGAUCCUGCACUCUGCUUACGAGCUGGAUCAUCUCCUACUUCUCCCGCAUCCACGACUUCCACAUCGAUCCUGCGUACGUUGACGCCAUGCCCAGGGCCGCCAGAUACGCCCUCCAGAGGGGG